CGCUUUGAGGCGUCAGCGGCGCCACCAUCCGCCUCCAUCCGCCGCGGUCUUGGGCUGGGGGCGUGCCAGAGGAGCUGGGGGUACCCAAAUGAGGCUACUCGCGCAGUGGGGGGAUUAUCUGGGGCCCCGAAGACCAGGGAUGUGUCAUUCCUAUCAGCUCCGACCCCUCCCGUACCUUUCUGUUCGAGCUCUCCAUGAGUAGAUGACCGAAUUGAGCGUUGGGUUCUCCGGGUGUCGACCGUUCAGGCCCCUGUUUGAAUCUCAGCUCCCUGCACGCCCUAUGAUAUUCCUUACCCGGUCUGGGCCCCACUGUCUUCAUCUAUUCAUUGGGAACACAAAAACUGUCACAGAUUUGAAUUUGGGAAGAAGUAAGUAACAGGAAGCGUUCACUACCGUUUCUUGCAGACACUUAAUUGUUGAAUAAAAUUGGAAUUGUUAGUAAGUAGUCUAACAUAGUAUAGCCUGAGAAAAUCCCGGAAAAUCGGGUGAGGUGUAGUGGAAAUCGUGGGCUUCUCUCACUUUUCCUAACGCUAAAGUGGGAAACGACCUCUUAUUCGUUGCAUUCAAGGAGGACUUUGCAUCAAAGUUUAUUCUAAUUUUGGUUCUGUACAGAGUAAAUAAUAAAGGUUUAUUGCCAUUUUGAA